rnacentral:rRNA from 1 species
UACAGAGGGUGCAAGCGUUAAUCGGAAUUACUGGGCGUAAAGCGCACGUAGGUGGCUUGCUAAGUUGGGUGUGAAAUCCCCGAGCUUAACUUGGGAAUUGCAUUCAAGACUGUCUUGCUAGAGUGUGGAAGAGGGAAGCGGAAUUCCAGGUGUAGCGGUGAAAUGCGUAGAUAUCUGGAGGAACAUCAGUGGCGAAGGCGGCUUCCUGGUCCAACACUGACACUGAGGUGCGAAAGCGUGGGGAGCAAACAGG